rnacentral:rRNA from 1 species
AAUAUUGCACAAUGGGCGCAAGCCUGAUGCAGCGAUGCCGCGUGAGCGAAGAAGGUUUUUGGAUCGUAAAGCUCUUUCCUCUGGGAAGAAAAAAAUGACGGUACCAUAGGGGUAUUCCCCGGCUAACUACGUGCCAUCAGCCGCGGUAAUACGUAGGGUGCUAGCGUUGUCCGGAUUUACUGGGCGUAAAGGGUGAUUAGGCGGUAACUUGUGUCAGAUGUAUAAUCUAUGGGCACAACACAUAACAGCAUUUGAAACUACGUAACUUGAGUGCAGGAGAGGUAAGUGGAAAUAAUAGUGUAGCGGUGAAAUGCGUAGAUAUUAGGAGGAACACCAGUGGCGAAGGCGACUUUCUGGACUGUAACUGACACUGAGGCACGAAAGCGUGGGGAGCAAACAGG